rnacentral:misc_RNA from 1 species
CAGGAGUGGGAUCGACUGCUUCUUGUCCAGUAUGCAAUCACUGCAUGACCUGUCUGGCUGUGAGAGGGGAUGCUUAGACUCAUUUUCAGCUCAAUAUCACAGCAUGGAUUUUAGACAUCCCUGCACUAUGACCUUUGCUGGGGUUGAACCUUGGCCUGAAGAUGUUAAACUAUAUCAACCUUUUGAAGUUGAACAAAUUCUUUUACCAGAUAAUGCAGCCUGUUUAAGUGUAAAAGCCUUUUUAAGAAUGUGUAAACUGAACUUCCAAAUUGAAAUGCGAACUAAUGCUGAGAGCAUGUCUCCUUCUGGCAGUGUUCCAUUUAUUAGAUGUGGGACAUUUGUAGUUGCUGAUGUUGAGCCUAUUAUUAAUUUUGUACAUUCAAAGGGCAUUAAUCUAAGUGCACAUCUUGAUCAUGCUGGAAUAGCAGAUAUGAAAGCUUAUAUUUCUCUUGUAAAUAUUGUCUUGCGUAAUGCUGAACUUUAUAUAUCUUGGUGUGAUAAGCCAACUUUAAAUGAAGUAACUAAACCUCGAUAUGGUUCAUCUCUUCCAUGGCCUGUUAAUCAUAUUCUUUGCUGGCAAACAAAGUAUGAAGUUAAAAAGAAAUUAAAAACAGCUGAUUGGCAAUCAAAGUCAUUAGAAGAGGUAUAUGAAGAAGUGAACAAUUGCUGUCAUGCAUUAUCAGAAAAACUUGGAUCUCAGAAAUUCUUUUUUGGAGACACGCCAACUGAGUUAGAUGCUGUUGUUUUUGGUCAUCUAUUUGCAAUUCUGACAACUCCUUUACCAGACAAUCGUUUGUGUUCUAUUUUACGAGAGUAUCAGAAUCUUGUAAAUUUGUGUCAUCAUAUUGAUGUACAGUAUUUCCAGAAACAUGCUGAUGAAGAUGAUGAUAUAGAAAAUAUAGAAAUGGAAACUACAUCCUAAAUUAUUAUACAUAUGAGGGGUAGAUACAGCAGGGCUUGCAGGCUGUGUGUGGCUUUUGCAGGCGAGUGGUGUCCUGUUUUCGAAUAAGAACGUUUGCCUAUAUUUAGAUUCAUUAAUUGUAAAUGCAGAGGUCAAUAUCCUUUUCUUUGUUAAAUGCUGUAUUAAUAUGUGUGUUUUUCUACGGUUUUUCUCCCCUACCUGGAUA